AGCAUCCUAUAGUUUAUCAUUAGGGUUUUGCGCCGGCGCCCUAGUUAUACAGAAGAGGAAUUCACCGAGGUAAUCUUGCUCGUUCUACGCCUUGCACAUGAUUUCAAAGCUUAGUGUUGUUAGAUUUUUACUAAUUUGAGAUCAAGUUUUUAAAACCUCGAGGAAGGAACACUGUGAAUUACAAUGAAAGAUGCAAUCUGUAAAUAUUGAAUAGCUUGUAUCUAUAGUCAUUUGGGCCUCGCUUUCAAUUUGAAUGGCACAGCAGAUGUCAAUUACAGAUACGAAUAUAAUUAGAUCGGUUUGUCAUGGACAAACUUCACGAGGAAAUUGAAAUUUGUAGCAAUGAUACACUGUUCUAUGAUCUAUGGAGAAUCUCCAUGGACGAUUGAGGGUUUACCUCCAUGUUACUUUGCCCUGUUGGUGGUUUAUUCGGGUUCUGUUUCUUAUCUCGUUUGAUUUCUUUCAAAGCAUCUCGUUGAUUUCUUUCAAAGCUGAAUACCAUUUUGCUGUAUGAAUAUUAGUUGGUUUUGCUUUUUGAAUCUGAAUGGGUUGGAAUUAAGAUUCUCUCACUCUAUCGAAAUUGCAGAUAAGGGUAUUGAAAUUUGAAGCAAUGAGAGACUAUUUCCCUUACAAAGCAGUGAUAAACCUCCACCAGUCAUAGUCAUUGUGGAGAUUCUAGUCAUUGGUCAUAGCAUCAUACCCGAACUGAAAGGAAUCUUUAGUUUGGUUUAGAUGCUAUGACCAAUGACUAAAAGAUUGCUAGAUCCAUCGAGUUCUGUGUGAAGAUUCUAGUCAUUGGUAGUAGCAUCAUACCUGAGCUCAAUGGAAUCUUUGGUUCGGUUUUGAUGCUAUGACCAGUGACUAAAAGGUUGUUAGAUCAUCAGGGUCCAUGAGGAGAUUCUAGUCAUUGGUCAUAGCAUCAUAUCCGAAGUUGAAGGAAUCUUAAGUUUGGUUUUGAUGCUAUGACCAAUGACUAAAAGCUUCAGAUUCUUGAGAAUGAAGAUGUGAAUCCAACACAAAUGCAUGGAAAAGGCCUUGGUUCUGUUGUGCCUCCAUGCCAAAUACAUGAGGUAUGGGGAAAGAAUUGGCUUGAUAGCCAAGUUACUCUUUCACUUUUGCAGCUGGAUAAUAUACAAUAUUACAUAUGCCAGUAUCCCUAUGUAAAGCAUAAUUGUUCACUUCACAUCGUUACAGUCAGGAGUAGGCAAAUUACUCUAAAGACUAUGGGUUUUCUGUAGCUGCAGUAAAGUUGCUUCAUGGAUUUUCCUGUUUUAGCUACUCUAUCUAACAUGCUGGAUUUCAGAAGGCAUUCCGUUUAUCUGUCUCUCUGUCAUCCAACGGUAUUCGUUUUAAUAUCUUCGUUAAAUGACUACCGGUUAGGAAGAACAAUUUGAGGAGUUUUUGAGACCGACGUUGCCACUGUAUUAUUUUUUGCUUCAGUGGGAUUAGUGAAAAAGAGCAUCCAUUUAAUGGUGAGCCUAAUUUGGCUCCUAGAAUGCAUUUCUUGUGAUUAUGAUGUAUUAUUUUUUGCUUCAGUGGGAUUAGUGAAAAAGAGCAUCCAUUUAAUGGUGAGCCUAAUUUGGCUCCUAGAGUGCAUUUCUUGUGAUUAUGAUGUAAUCUCUAAUUUCCCCGGAUAUUGUAAAUUUGUAAUGUAAUGUUUUGUUUUUUCAAAUUA